AGGAAUAAAUCUGGAAGAUUGUAAGUUCAUUUACUGAAUAAACACAUCAUGUAUUUUUCUGGAAUAAAUUUGGGAGUAGUGUUUGCUUUCCCCGUUCAUGUAUUUUUCUUAAGAUAGAGGCUAUUUAGUCCCACAUCCUAAAUCCUAUUCUCGCAUGGAGUAUAUAUUAGAAGCCUUGCUUAAGGCAUAGGCACGACCUUACUUGAACAGGAUCUGUUCUAUAGGCUCGUGCAUCUGUCUUCAAGAGUUCAAAGAAGACAGGCAAUCAAGUCUGGCGGAUGACUCCAUGGCCUUAGAAUUAGAGCGUGAUUAAAGGGUGAAAACUUCUUGAGUUCAAACCUCCAGAGGAUCGUUCUCAGUUGGCUGUGGCCACCUGGAGUGAUUCUAAGGUUGUCUGACAGACUAUAUACAUCAUUUUUUUUAUGCACACAAUGUCAAGGAUUAUUCUCAAUUGGUUGUGCCCAACUAUGGGUGAUUUUAAGGAUGUCUGACAAACUACACAUCGAAGUGACAAGUAUGAAGUAAAAAAAUAUUAGAAUUAUGAUGCAAAACAAUAUUAAAGAAAUUGAUAUUACCAAUGAAAAUUUAGUAUUCUGGAUAGUGGAAGAAAAUAGUUGGUAAUUUUUUGCUUUGUAUUUCAAUUAAAUUAGCCUCUUGCGCAUCUGUCUUAUCCAUAUAUAUUUGAUCUAGAUUCAUCUGGUCGUCAAUAGCAGCUGCAACAACAAAAUGACCGAUGCUGAAGCUGCGAGACUUAGUUAAUUAGGGUCAUUAUUGUUGUGGAAAGCCAGCGGUGAAGCAUAGAUGUAAGUAAAGUUGGCUCGCUAGAAUGCCAAUUUAGAGGCUAUUUAGUCCCAUAUCCUAAUUGCUUAUCUUGCAUGAAGCAUAUAUUAGAGGCUUGGCAUACGCAUAAAGCAUGAUCUUAUUUGAAUAGGAUUUGUUCUCUAGUCUCGUACAAUUAUCUUUCUGAGUUCAGAGUAGAUAAGCAAUGAAGUUUUUAAGGAUGACAGAUUACCUUAGAAUUAGAGUGUGAUUAAUGGGAAAAGACUUUUGGCUGUGGCCACCUAGGGUGAUUCUAAG
rnacentral:lncRNA from 1 species